GAGUUUGAUCGUGGCUCAGAUUGAACGCUGGCGGCAUGCCUUACACAUGCAAGUCGAACGGUAACGCGGGGCAACCUGGCGACGAGUGGCGAACGGGUGAGUAAUGCAUCGGAACGUGCCCAGUAGUGGGGGAUAGCCCGGCGAAAGCCGGAUUAAUACCGCAUACGACCUACGGGUGAAAGGGGGGGAUCGCAAGACCUCUCGCUAUUGGAGCGGCCGAUGUCAGAUUAGGUAGUUGGUGGGGUAAAAGCCUACCAAGCCGACGAUCUGUAGCUGGUCUGAGAGGACGACCAGCCACACUGGGACUGAGACACGGCCCAGACUCCUACGGGAGGCAGCAGUGGGGAAUUUUGGACAAUGGGCGCAAGCCUGAUCCAGCCAUGCCGCGUGCGGGAAGAAGGCCUUC
rnacentral:rRNA from 1 species